rnacentral:tRNA from 1 species
GGUCAGGUAGCCUAGUGGUUAAGGCAGCCCAUGCAUGUUGGGUCCAGAUCCAUUGGAUCUGGUUGCUGGUUCAAAUCCAGCCCCGACCA